CCUACGGGUGGCAGCAGUGGGGAAUAUUGCACAAUGGGGGAAACCCUGAUGCAGCGACGCCGCGUGAGUGAAGACGGCUCUCUGUAUGGAAAGCUCUAUCUGUAGGGAAGAGAAUGACGGUACCUGAGUAAGAUUCCACGGCUCACUCCGUUCCAGCAGCCGCGGUACCAUGUAGGUGGCAAGCGUUAUCCGGAUUUACCGGGUGUAAAGUGAGCGUAGACGGGGAAGAAAGUCGGAAGUGAAAUCCCGCGGUUCAACCGCGGAACUGCUUUGGAAACUUUUUUGCUGGAGUACCGGAGAGGUAAGCGGAAUUCCUGGUGUAGCGGUGAAAUGCGUAGAUAUUAGGAGGAACACCAGUGGCGAAGGCGGCUUACUGGACGGUAACUGACGUUGAGGCUCGAAAGCGUGGGGAGCAAACAGGAUUAGAUACCCCUGUAGUC
rnacentral:rRNA from 1 species